CAAGUUUGAAGCUAAACAGCAGAAUCUUUGAUGAACAAACACAAUGAUCUGAACGAGACGAGGAACUAAAGGCUUUUAUAGACAUGAGCUGCUUGUCAACCUAACAGAGAUGUUAACAGAACCAAAUAAGAGGCAUGAAGUAGGUCUGGGAACACUUCUCUGGUCUGUUCAUAAGCUGGACCUCAGGGUGGGAUGGGUUGAUGGCUGUUUGGUCAGAACACUGGGUCGGUUCUCCCUGUUGCUGAUUCAUACCUGUUUCAUUCCUACAUUUUAUAUUUCAUCCCUUCUUACGUCCGUCUCAUACCAGUAGAAACAUGUAGAUGAAUUAUGGAGAUAAAUGGUCCUAAAACCUUUCAGAUCUCACCAUCCAUUGGGGGACUGGUUCCUAUCUCCAGGGUCUCAGAGAGGUGGGGUCCACCCUGGACAGGUCUUCAGUCCAUCACAGGACAGACCAGCAUGGACACACUCACACCUCAGGACCAUUUAGAGACCAGUUAACCUAAUGGUCAUGUUUUUAGACUGAGGGAGGAAGCUGGAGUACCCAGAGAGAACCCAAGCCUGCACAGGGAGAACCUCCAAACUACAUUAGAAAGACCCUGGACCAGGAUUCUGACCCAGGACCUUCUUGCUGCUAGAUAGAAUGAGACAAAGUGACCAGCAGGCGUGUGAAGGUCCAACCAGCUGCUCUGCUGUAGUUCCUAGUAAACAUGGACCCAUAUGAGAUUCUCAUGAUUAAAUCUGAUGUUGAUCAGCUGAUAAUUAUCUGAAACUUUAUAUCAGAGAAGAACCAAUCAAUCAAUCAGCCAGAGAUGAAGCUGAGAGGUUUUACUCUUCUCUGGUCUGGGAGAGGUCAAAGGUCAGGUGAGGCCUGGGGGCCAUAAAAGGUCAAGAUCUGGUUUCAGCUAUAAAUAGACAAUAAUUAUAAUGUUUUAAUCAACUAGAGUCUGUUUCUAAAGCAGCAUUAGACAGUAAAUUAUUAAUCUUCUUAUUCUGAAUGUGGAGCUUUAACAUCUCUGCUCUGUGAUGUUUCCUCUCCUGCAGGUCAGAGAAUCAUCACAGUUAAACAUGGAGAAGAAGUUAUUCUGCCUUGUAGACCAGCUGAGAAGAAAGAUGUUCUAGUUGUAGAGUGGAUCAGAACUGAUCUGGAGUCAGAUCAGUUUGUUCUUUUAUACAAAUCCAAGCAGUUUGAUCCAGAGGUUCAGUCUCCAUCUUUUAAGAACCGGGUGGAUCUGAAGGACGUGAAGAAUGGAGACGUGUCUUUGGUUCUGAAGAAAGUGACGACUGAUGAUACAGGAAGAUAUGAGUGUCGAGUUCAGAGAGAAAAUAAUCUGGACACUGACCCCAUCAGCAUCAUUGGUCUGAUGGUUCAAGGUGAGUCUGUUUGUUUCUGGAUCAGAACUUCCAGCAGCUUCCUGGUUCUUGACAUGAGAGAAACAUCUCAGAUCAGAUGUUUGUGUUUUCUAAGCUCUGUUUCUCCAGGUCUGCAGCUUCUGUCUGCAUUAGAUGGACAGACACAAACACUUCAAUGAUUCAUGGUCUUCAUGUCCAACAGAACUGAGAUCUGAUGGUUCAUUUUCACCUAAAUCUACUUUCUAAACACAUCAGGCUCAAAGAAACUCUGAAAUCAUCUCAUCUGAAUUUAAAAAUACUAUUUAUUACAAUAAAAACCACAAAAAUGA